rnacentral:lncRNA from 1 species
CCUCCAAAAAAAGUUUUUGUGUUUUCUUUCCCCACCAAUUUCUCCUUCCAACAAUAUGAUCUGUGAAAAGGUCCAUUAACCCACAUCUUCUCAGCACUAAAUAUCUAUCUCUCUAAUGCUUUGCCAUCCUGAUAGAUUUUGUGUUUGUUUUUAUUUAGGUUCAGUUUGCCAGCAUAUAGUAUAACACCCAGUGCUCAUCCCAUCAAGUCAUACUGAUAGACUUAAUUUGAUUUUGAAAACCCUAAGUUCAGGGUCACUCCAGAAAGAGAGAAGAAGCAAGACCGGGACAGUCUUCAGACAACAUUGGGAAGAUGGUGUGCGGUGCCCAGAGGAGGGGAAGCAGGGCUCUGGAAUCAUCUUCUAUGUG